UACAUGGGGUGCAAACGUUGCCCGGAAUUAUUGGGCGUAAAGCGCGCGCAGGCGGUCCUUUAAGUCUGAUGUGAAAGCCCACGGCUCAACCGUGGAGGGUCAUUGGAAACUGGGGGACUUGAGUACAGAAGAGGAAAGCGGAAUUCCACGUGUAGCGGUGAAAUGCGUAGAGAUGUGGAGGAACACCAGUGGCGAAGGCGGCUUUCUGGUCUGUAACUGACGCUGAGGCGCGAAAGCGUGGGGAGCAAACAGG
rnacentral:rRNA from 1 species